CUCGUCUAUUUUGUGCAAUUUUUUCAUGAUUAUGGUUUAAAUAAAGUGUCCGGUGUCCAUACCCAUGUCCAAAUUUGAGGAACCGACGGGUAGUUGAGGUAAAUUGAAUAGUGCAAGUAACAUAAAUUUUUUUUUUUUUUUUGAGACUGUGUUAUUCCCUAUUUGUUGGAGAACAGUCUUGAUCAUUUGACACGGCAGGCAAUAUUAACAUCUUUGGCAUAUUCCCUUGCCGUCCUCCUAUCAAUUAUUUAAUGAGUUGAGAUGGACUAUAGAGUAUAGACUAUAGAGAGAUUAAUACUUUUUCCGUCCAUUUUUGUUUUUUAUGCUUUGAUAGUGUACAAUCUAAGCUCCAAUGUACACUUUUAAUCAUGACUAGUUGAAUACUACCUUAAUUAUUUAUAUACGAGUUAAGUUUAUGAAAGGUUGAUAUGCUGAAAUUACAUAUUGAAACAAAUCUAAUAAAAUUUAAAUAACAAAGAAAGUAGUCCGUUAAUACUUGUAAAUUCCUGGAUGUUGCUGUAUGGAUAAUAGUUCUCGACUUUCCUCUUUCAGUAUGCGGAGUAACAUAUUUUGUUAGAAUAUUUCUUGAAUCGGUCAAGCCCCUUACCGCAACACCCCUAACACUUGUAUUUUAUAAUAUGUACUCCUCAAGAUCAAUAAAACUUUCCCCUCCUCUGCCGGUGAACGUUAACACAUUGUUAGUGAACCACGUUAAAUAUUUGUGUUCUUUAUUUACGUUAUUUAUAAUCUUUCUUGCUUCCGUUGUAACAUAUUUGAUGAGUGAUUUGUGGUGGGUUGACAUGCAGCGUAGUCAAGAAGAAGUUGACAAAGUUUCUGCUUUGGCAAAGAGAGGCACAAAAACUCUUGAGCUGGAUGAGAUUUGGAUCUCUACAAAGUGUUGACUUGGCAAGAGUUGACCUUCAAACAUGGCCUUGUGUUUAUUGGUGCUGAUUGUUGAAUAAAAUUAUCACUGGAUUUAUUACAUUCACAUUCUGGAAGAUCAUGCCCCAAAUACAAAAGUGUGGACAAUUUUCCACCAUUUUCCCCAAAGUGGUAGGUAAGGGACAAUGUUCUAACGGGUCGAAAUCUCACUCAAGUCAACCAGAGACAUAAUAAGGGUAUUGGUUUGGCAUUAAUUUCCACCAUUGAUGAUAGCUUGUACGUAUUGAGGGAUCGAAAAUCAAGUCACUAAAGAAAACUGAAAACAAAAAACGUGAAGUCCGUACCUUGUGGAUAGUGUAGUACGGUGCCCAAACAUGUUGGACAGCUUCGAAUCUGUCGAAGAGUUCAGGUGGAAAUGCAGAAAGGUACCCUGUUUUCAUUGCAUCUUGACACUCUUUAAGGGCAGAAACUAAUGAAGUCAUCUUUGCUUUAAGAGUCUCAUUAUGUGUACUUGCCCACAUUUGUGCCGUUGCACUUAAGUAAUGCCCU